CCUACGGGAGGCUGCAGUGGGGAAUAUUGGGCAAUGGGCGCAAGCCUGACCCAGCAACGCCGCGUGAAGGAAGAAGGCUCUCGGGUUGUAAACUUCUUUUCUCAGGGACGAAGCAUGUGACGGUACCUGAGCAAUAAGCCACGGCUAACUACGUGCCAGCAGCCGCGGUAAUACGUAGGUGGCAAGCGUUAUCCGGAUUUACUGGGUGUAAAGGGCGUGUAGGCGGGGACGCAAGUCAGCUGUGAAAACCGUGGGCUCAACCUGUGGCCUGCAUUUGAAACUGUGAGUCUUGAGUACUGGAGGGGGAGACGGAAUUCCUGGGGUAGCAGUGAAAUGCGUAGAUAUUAGGAGGAACACCAGUGGCGAAGGCGGUCUGCUGGACAGCAACUGACGCUGAGGCGCGAAGGCGUGGGGAGCGAACGGGAUUAGAUACCCCUGUAGUC
rnacentral:rRNA from 1 species